ensembl:snRNA U6 U6 spliceosomal RNA
GUGAUCACUUCAGCAGCACAUAUACUAAAAUUGGUAUGAUACAGAGAAGAUUAGCAUGGCCCUUCAGCAAGAAUGGCAUGCAAAUUCAUUAAGUGUUCCAUAUUUUA